CCGUCGGCGAGCCCGGCGAAGUCGCGAACCGGUGGGGGUGAUGUCGACGGCGGCGAUAAUGGCCGAUAGUACGCCGACGUGACGCCCGAUGGCGCCGCCAAGAAGCUCCCGCGAUUUGCCGGCGGAACGAUUAAAAUCGCAGUCUAAUAAUGAGACUUAUGCAAAGGAAUUUAUAAGUAAUGAUAUGGUUGUGUACCGAAUGAGUUUUGUAUUCUUCGAUAAUCUUCGAAUUUCAUAGUUAUUGAGGUGGUAUUGUUAUACAACAUAUGUGCGAGAGGUUAAGAGUUCAUAUCACUCAUGUCUCUCUUAAGAGUUUAAGAAAUGUUUUUUUCUAAUUUGUAAAGAGCGGGCAAUAUGGGCUAGUUCCCAGAGCCAUAUGUAUUUAUAUUUUGUUUUAAUAAAAAAAAACAAAAAAAAAUUGCCGGCGGUAGUACGAAGGUACUUUGUGGCAUUGCGGAGCAAACGCGAUUUUUCGUUUAAAUUGAGUUUUUCAGAGAGCUGAGCAGGGGUCUAAGGAGUCGCUGUCUUUAAAAGAAAAAUCUUGUUUUUCGGAAGCGCAGAUGUCGUUUUUCCGAAUAAUAAUACGUUUUUCUUCUUUUCUCUUUCUUUUUUUAUAAUUGAGAGAACGGCGAUUGGUGUCUUGUGUGCUGCAUUUGAGAAAAAUCAGUUUGCUUGUUAUCUCAUUGUUUAUUUGAGUUUUCCUUAUUGUUAAUAACGCUUCGUUAAAAAUGAUUCUCAUAACUUUUUAACUCCGUAAAUCUGCGACAGAUAAUUAUUUAAAUAAUAUAUAGUAGAUAUGUAACCGGUGUCAGUGCUAAUGUAAUCAGAGAAAUGCAAGUGGAGCUGCUAGAUGUAAUCAGAUGUAGGCAGAUUCACGCUCACAAUGCGAUGAAUUAAACACAUCUUUUUACAUACAAGAAGAUAUAAAUGUAUUAUUAAUAUAGAAUCGCACAUUUAAAAAUAAAAUCGACAAAGA